CUUUAACAAUCCGGAACAAGCUGAAAAUUGAAACGACAUGUCGUUUUCAUUCUCCGUAAUAAGAAUGAAAGCUAAGACAUGUUCGAGUCUCUCAAAUGCUUGCAAUUCGCAGCGCUGAAAAACGCCUGUGG
rnacentral:sRNA from 2 species